UACGUAGGUGACAAGCGUUGUCCGGAUUUACUGGGCGUAAAGAGCGCGCAGGCGGUCGUUCAAGUCGAGUGUGAAAGCCCCCGGCUCAACUGGGGAGGGUCAUUCGAUACUGAUCGACUCGAAGGCAGGAGAGGGUAGUGGAAUUCCCGGUGUAGUGGUGAAAUGCGUAGAUAUCGGGAGGAACACCAGUGGCGAAGGCGGCUCACUGGCCCGGUACUGACGCUGAGGUGCGAAAGCGUGGGGAGCAAACAGG
rnacentral:rRNA from 1 species